rnacentral:tRNA from 1 species
GGCGCGGUAGCUCAGCUGGUUAGAGCGCAGGAUUCAUAAUCCUGAGGUCGGGAGUUCAAGCCUCCCCCGCGCUA